UAUAUGGAGCUUCAGCAAAAAACACCCUAAAAACGGCAGACUAUUGUGCACAUGUUGGUGCAGAUUUGCGAUUGAAAGAAGCAAUUUAUCGAGAAAUUGAAGUACCAAUAGAAACUCUAUAUCGGUCACCUUCUUUCCACGCUCUUAAUCCAAGGAAUUCCUUGCCAUUCUCAAAUUUAUUUCAAAUAUCACUGCUGUCUCACAGCCGCAUUUAGUUGGUAUAAAGGAAUCUACACAGCCAAGCCCAGACAGGAAUACACUGGAGGCUGGUACAGUUGGCAAUAUAGCUCAAGCAAGGCCUUCUGUUACAGAGGAAAGUGCUGUACAGUGGGCUAAAAAUGAUAAGAGAAGAUUACUUCAUGCUGUUUAUAGCGUUAGAGAUUUAGAUAAGACUAUAAAAUUCUAUACGGAGUGCCUUGGCAUGAAGGUAUUGCGGAAAAGAGACAUCCCAGAGGAGAGAUUUUCAAAUACCUUUCUUGGUUUUGGACCCGAAGAGUCACAUUUUACGAUUGAACUUUCAU